rnacentral:misc_RNA from 1 species
GUUGAAGAACGCAGCGAAAUGCGAUAAGUAAUGUGAAUUGCAGAAUUCAGUGAAUCAUCGAAUCUUUGAACGCACAUUGCGCCCGCCAGUAUUCUGGCGGGCAUGCCUGUUCGAGCGUCAUUACAACCCUCAGGCCCCCGGGCCUGGCGUUGGGGAUCGGCGGAAGCCCCCUGCGGGCACAACGCCGUCCCCCAAAUACAGUGGCGGUCCCGCCGCAGCUUCCAUUGCGUAGUAGCUAACACCUCGCAACUGGAGAGCGGCGCGGCCACGCCGUAAAACACCCAACUUCUGAAUGUUGACCUCGAAUCAGGUAGGAAUACCCGCUGAACUUAAGCAUAUCAAUAAGCGGAGGA